rnacentral:tRNA from 1 species
AGCUUUAUAUUCAAAAAUGAUAUUAGACUGCAAUUCUAAAGGAGUAAUUGUAUUAAUUACUAAGGCUU